AAACAGAGCUUGGCUCUGGUGGUUAGGUCCCUUGUGGUGGAACCAGCCCACCCAGGUUCAAGUCCUAGACUUGACAUGGGUGUUUGCAUUUACCUGGAUUUAUUCCAGGAUUUAACCGGCGCUAUGCUUUCAGUGGUAGGUGACGUGCCCGUCAACAGCGAGGCGCCAGUGGUGACUUCGUCAACCUCAAGAUAUGCCGGCUCAGUCCCUCGGAGGUGCUCAUAGGGGUAGGGUGUGCGUGCGUGCGUUCAUAGGGGUGUUUGU